rnacentral:misc_RNA from 1 species
GAUGAAGAACGCAGCGAAAUGCGAUAAGUAGUGUGAAUUGCAGAAUUCAGUGAAUCAUCGAAUCUUUGAACGCACAUUGCGCCCCAUGGUAUUCCGUGGUGCAUGCCUGUUCGAGCGUCAUUUACCCCCUCAAGCUCCGCUUGGUGUUGGGCGUCUGUCCCGCUUCGCGCGCGGACUCGCCCCAAAGGUAUUGGCAGCGGUCGUGCCAGCUUCUCGCGCAGCACAUUGCGCUUCUCGAGGCACCGGUGGGCCCGCGUCCAUCAAGCUCACCCCCCCAGUUUGACCUCGGAUCAGGUAGGGAUACCCGCUGAACUUAAGCAUAUCAAUAAGCGGAGGA